AACAAUCAAUCCAUAGAAACGUCACUCCAGUUAGCGAACGUUGUUCGUUAGCUGGAGCUUGUUUACCUUUUAGUUAGCGGUCACCUACUGUAUAUACAAUUUGUGUUAAGAUUUCGUACCAGUGCGUGCAAUAAAACAAGCAAAUUAUGUUGACGCAUUUCGGCGGAGUGGUACGGAGCAAAGGCAUGCAAAGGAAAAAAGAGGAGCAAAGGCGACCGUUCAACCAGAUAUGCUUUUAGCUUUCCUCUGGACCAUUGAUGGAAAGGUUCGUUUGCUAAAUCGGAUGUAUGGAGUGCACGAUGUGUGUGCAGUUGCGAUGGAGCUCGAAAGCAAAUAUCAAGCGAUUGCUGCAACAUUGUCGACAAAAGAUACUGUACAGCAGCCUUCUAAGCUGUUAAAAGUCCAGCACAAAUCGAUGCUACAGCAUCGAAAAGAGAAAAAGCUCAGAAACUGUAUCAUUGCAUCGGAAACAAGGUAAGAUUAUAACGAUGACGAUGGCGACGACAACGACGAAUAAGUGCGUGAAUAAUCAGUCUAGCAAUGGUUUCAUCCGCACUUGCUUGAGGAUAAUGUAAAGGCAAUCA